GACGAACGCUGGCGGCGUGCUUAACACAUGCAAGUCGAACGGUGAAGCGCCUUCCUUUUUGGUGGGUGUGGAUGAGUGGCGAACGGGUGAGUAACACGUGAGUAACCUGCCCCCUUCUUCUGGAUAACCGCAUGAAAGUGUGGCUAAUACGGGAUAUUCUGGGUCUGUCGCAUGAUGGGUCUGGGAAAGAUAUUGUUUCGGUGGGGGAUGGGCUCGCGGCCUAUCAGCUUGUUGGUGGGGUGAUGGCCUACCAAGGCGGUGACGGGUAGCCGGCCUGAGAGGGUGGACGGUCACACUGGGAAUGAGACACGGGCCAGACUCCUACGGGAGGCAGCAGUGGGGAAUAUUGCACAAUGGGCGCAAGCCUGAUGCAGCGACGCCGCGUGAGGGAUGGAGGCCUUCGGGUUGUGAACCUCUUUCGCCAGUGAAGCAGGCCUGCCUCGUUUGUGGGUGGGUUGACGGUAGCUGGAUAAGAAGCGCCGGCUAACUACGUG
rnacentral:rRNA from 1 species